rnacentral:rRNA from 1 species
UACAGAGGCCUCGAGCGUUAGGCGGAAUCACUGGGCUUAAAGCGUGUGUAGGCGGACUUCUAAGUACCUUGUGAAAUCCCACGGCUUACCCGUGGAACGGCUGGGUAUACUGGUUGUCUUGAGCCACUUAGGGGCUACCGGAACAAAUGGUGGAGCGGUGAAAUGCGUAGAUAUCAUUUGGAACGCCAAUGGUGAAAACAGGUAGCUGGGGAUGUGCUGACGCUGAGACACGAAAGCCAGGGGAGCAAACGGG